rnacentral:rRNA from 1 species
ACGAGAUGCAAGUACCAUGAGGGAAAGAUGAAAAGGACUUUGAAAAGAGAGUUAAAAGUGCCUGAACUCGCUGAAAGGAAAGCGGAUGGAACCAGUCGUGCUUGGCGAGAUUGUUGCGUGCAAAGGUGACUGCUCACUGCUCGUAGCGUAAGCGCAGCAGCGGGUUUCGAUCUGGUCGCGCGCGAUGCUUCUUGCCUUGUUCGUCAUCGUUGGUUUGGAGGCGCGGACAACUCUUGGGACAUGGUAACUCGCCCACGGGCGAGCGAAUGUGCCUUGCAGAACUCACCUCCAAACUGAUGUCUCUUGUUAGGUUCUGUUGCCGUACGCGGCACGUUCUUGACAAAGCGUGGUGACAGAAUGGUUCUAUUCGACCCGUCUUGAAAACACGGGACCAAGGAGUCUAACAUAUGUGCAAGUUCUUCGGGGUGGGAACCGUACGACUUGUCGAAACUCGAAACUAGUAAGGUACGUAGGUCUCGGGUAGUACGUUUAGUCGACCCUUAGGCCAAACCGUACCCAAAGUCCAAAGUUCCGGAACCGAAAGUACGGUUUAAGUUAGGGGUAAGUA